CAUGGAUAUGAAAGUAAAUAGGUUAUUGCAACAUUAUGCACAUAUUCACUCUUUGAAAUGUUAAUAGUACUCUUUUAUAAUUUAUUUAUAAUCACUUAGGAACAUUACUACGAUCCAGAAAGUGGUUCAGGAUACCUUGCAUGGUGAUUGAAGACCAUACAAAGAAAAACAGCAGAGGAAAGAGGUGCCUCAGUCAGCAAAUCUCCUAAAGUUGGUGGGCCAGGUCGUGUUCGUCAGCCCUUCACCUUUGACAGAGAGCCAUCUGAUGAGGAUGUGGAAGCAGCUAUUGCUGUUUUGAGACACUCUGCUGAUGAAAAGACUGUCCGUGAGAAGAUGAAAAUGACCUUCAUAUAUCGGCAAGCAAUGGUCAACGAUGAAGCCAAAUCAUCAGAUGUCUUCUUGGUCUUCCCACGAUUUCUGGACACACCAGGACUGAUAGAACAAGAUUUCAGAUUUAUGUUUGGUGAGGCCACGGCCAACAAAUUCUUAGAGAAGUGGCCAACCACUUUUAAAGCAAAAGUAAUAAAGGAAAGCCAUGGACUUGUACCCACCACAGAACUCCUGGAUUUGAUGCGCAAUGCUGAGUCAGCUGCUGAAGUUGAGAAUGGCUGGGACAGUGACAUGUCUGCCAUCUUGCUGCUGCUACAUCUGCUACCACCAUCUGCACAAGGUAGAAAGAGGCUGGGAAAGCUUUCUGCGUAUCAAGCUGUAGAUCAGCUCAUCAGAUUUCAAAAGGUUGGAACCAGUGUGCAGCAGCAUCUAGACAACAUCACCCAAAGCAGUCAGCCCUACCUUCUCGCCCAGGGAUCCACACAGAGCACCAUUCACUCCUACUUCAUUGUGGUUGAUAAGCAUGCACUUCCAUGCAAGGCAACAGGUUCAGUUGGAGCUUUUGAUGAACUCUUUAAAGCCCAUUACGUCUUUGGUACAUCAUACAGUUCUUCCCUGAGUAGCUUUUUCACUUUUGUGCAAACAACCAUCUAUAACAUCGACAUGGGGGAAACAAAGGAGACAAGAAUGGUGCGUUAGUUGAGAUAAAGCUAUGAAGUGUUUUCUUUGCAAAAGUGACCAUGGAAGUCCAAACAACCUUGUUAAGCACUUUAAGGUAAUUCAUGGGCUAUGUACAGGCAGGACUCUUUUUCUGAAAUGUGGUCAAGAAGGAUGCUCACGUUCUUUUGGUAGUUUUUCUGGUUUAAGAAAGCAUCUUAAUAAGUGCCAUGGAAGCAGUUUAGUUGAUUCUGUAGAAUAUGAUCUUUCAUAUCCUCAAAGUACCGUCAAUACAAGUAAUGUUUCUCAUGUUGAAGAGUCGACUGAAUAUUUAGAGGCAGAGUCACAGUUAUCUUUGCCAUACAUUUUAAAUAGUUGUUCAACUGUAAUUUCUUAUCUAAAGGCAGCAGGUGUUGGUCAAAGUGCACUGAAUUCUGUAGUGAUUUCCAUGGAAGAGAUUGUUCAAGAUAUCCAUCAGCAUGCUAAAGAGACAGUGAUAAAGCAUGUAUUUAGUAAUGAAAGCGAAACGGAAAUGUGCAAGAAAGUUGAGGCGUGUUUUGAGGGGUUAGAGAUCCUUUCACAAUUCUAAAUUCGGAAUACAAGCGAUCAAAAUUUAUGACUGACAAGUGGGAAAUAGUAGAACCAGUUGAAUGUGUGAUUGGUUCAAGAUUUGACACAAGGUGAAAUAAAAAGACAAAAUGCUCAUAUUCAACAAUGUUUUUGAUCUGCCUGCAUUGACUCUUUAUUAGUUGCUGUUGCAGUAAUAAUUAAUUAAUGGUUUAGUUCUUCAUGAGUCAUACAUUAACACCUGAUUAUAUGUGCAUUAGUUAAGCAUGAAUUAAUGCAUAUUAGUGCACCCCUAUUGUAAAGUGUUACCCCAUUUUCUUCUAGAGCUCCUGUGCAGCCAAAAUUAUAUACCAGUUAUCACUGUAAAGCUGCUUUGACACAAUCUGCAUUGUAAAAACCAUUAUAUAAAUAAAGGUGACUUGACUUGACUUGACAUGUUUUUAAUUCCAUGCCAAACAGCCCUCAUAUCUCCUCGGACAAAUGUUUCUUCUAUUUUAUUUCUGUAAUUUAGUGUGCCAGAUCAAAUUGCUUUUUUAACCUCCUUGUUUAUCUUUUUUUUCUUCACUGGUCCCUGAUAGGAAUACCCUUUUUUCAUAUUAAGAAUAUUUUUAAACUCUUAGGUAACCCAUGAUUAGUUGUUAGGAAACACAGUCAGACUUUUGGCAGGUAUAAUAGAUUACACAACAGAUAGGACACAACAGGUUAUGUAGUCAGACACCACAAGAACAUGUUCGUUCAAGUCUGAACUCUCGCUCAAAAAUAAGUCCCAGUCCGUAUUCUCAAAUCAGCUUUGCAGUUCUUUCAUGUGGAUGAACAUACACAACAAGAAAGUAUAGUUGAGGGAACUCACAUGGUAGGUAGAACAGGCAGGUAUAAAGAACAAGCAUUUCAAUAUCUGAAGUACUUAUUUUGUCCUGCACAAUCACGUUGUUACACCAACACUCCUUAGUGUACAGACACACUCCACUUCCAUGUCAGACAGACAGGUAAAUAGGGUAACACUUUAGUAUGGGGAACACAUAUUCACUGUUUACUAUGACUUUUGCUUCUGCUUAUUAAUAGUUAGUAAUGUGGUUGUUGUAGCAUUUAAGUUUAGGUAUGGGGUAAGAUUAAGGGAUGUAGAAUAUGGUCAUUCAGAAUAAUGCAUUAAUAUGUGUUUUAUAAGUACUAAUAAACAGCUAAUAUCUUAGUAAUAUGCAUACUAAUAAGCAACUAGUUAAUAGUGAGAAUUGGUCUCUAAACUAAAAUGUUACUGUAAACAGACAGACAGCACUGUCUGCAGAGGUUUGUCUGAGCU